CGGCGGACGGGUGAGUAAUGCCUAGGAAUCUGCCUGGUAGUGGGGGACAACGUUUCGAAAGGAACGCUAAUACCGCAUACGUCCUACGGGAGAAAGCAGGGGACCUUCGGGCCUUGCGCUAUCAGAUGAGCCUAGGUCGGAUUAGCUAGUUGGUGAGGUAAUGGCUCACCAAGGCGACGAUCCGUAACUGGUCUGAGAGGAUGAUCAGUCACACUGGAACUGAGACACGGUCCAGACUCCUACGGGAGGCAGCGGC
rnacentral:rRNA from 1 species